rnacentral:rRNA from 1 species
AACGAACGCUGGCGGCGUGCUUAACACAUGCAAGUCGAACGCGAAAGGGACUUCGGUCCUGAGUAAAGUGGCGCACGGGUGAGUAACGCGUGGAUAAUCUACCCGAUGGACCGGGAUAACAUUUCGAAAGGGGUGCUAAUACCGGAUAAGACCACGGCUUCUUAGGGGGCUGCGGUAAAAGGUGGGGACCUUCGGGCCUACCGUCAUCGGAUGAGUCCGCGUACCAUUAGCUAGUUGGUAGGGUAAGAGCCUACCAAGGCGACGAUGGUUAGCUGGUCUGAGAGGAUGAUCAGCCACACUGGAACUGAGACACGGUCCAGACUCCUACGGGAGGCAGCAGUGGGGAAUUUUGCGCAAUGGGGGAAACCCUGACGCAGCAACGCCGCGUGAGUGAUGAAGGCCUUCGGGUCGUAAAGCCCUGUCAGAGGGGAAGAAAUGCAGGGGUGCUAAUAUCAUCUUUGCUUGACGGUACCCUCAAAGGAAGCACCGGCUAACUCCGUGCCAGCAGCCGCGGUAAAAC